AUUGAACUCUUGAGGCAGGCCUAACACAUGCAAGUCGAACGCGUGGCGGACGGGUGAGUCAUGUCUGGGAAACUGCCCGAUGGAGGGGGAUAACUACUGGAAACGGUAGCUAAUACCGCAUACCAUCGGGUGUGCCCAGAUGGGCUUAGCUAGUAGGUUGGGUAACGGCUCACCUAGGCGCCGAUCCCUAGCUGGUCUGAGAGGAUGACCCGCCACACUGUGACUGAGACACGGUCCAGACUCCUACGGGAGGCAGCAGUGGGGAAUAUUGCACAAUGGGCGCAAGCCUGAUGCAGCCAUGCCGCGUGUAUGAAGAAGGCCUUCGGGUUGUAAAGGACUUUCCGCGAGGAGGCGUUAAUCGCAGAAGAAGCACCGGCUAACUCCGUGCCAGCAGCCGCGGUAAUAC
rnacentral:rRNA from 1 species